GCAAAACGCGAAGAACCUUACCCACCUUUGACAUGUACGGAAUCCUUUAGAGAUAGAGGAGUGCUCGAAAGAGAGCCGUAACACAGGUGCUGCAUGGCUGUCGUCAGCUCGUGUCGUGAGAUGUUGGGUUAAGUCCCGCAACGAGCGCAACCCUUGCCAUUAGUUGCUACGAAAGGGCACCCUAAUGGGACUGCCGGUGACAAACCGGAGGAAGGUGGGGAUGACGUCAAGUCCUCAUGGCCCUUAUAGGGUGGGGCUACACACGUCAUACAAUGGCUGGUACAAAGGGUUGCCAACCCGCGAGGGGGAGCUAAUCCCAUAAAGCCAGUCGUAGUCCGGAUCGCAGUCUGCAACUCGACUGCGUGAAGUCGGAAUCGCUAGUAAUCGUGGAUCAGAAUGUCACGGUGAAUACGUUCCCGGGUCUUGUACACACCG
rnacentral:rRNA from 1 species